rnacentral:piRNA from 1 species
UAACAUUUACUGAGUGCUUAUAAUGUGCCA